CCUACGGGUGGCUGCAGUGGGGAAUAUUGGUCAAUGGGCGCGAGCCUGAACCAGCCAAGUAGCGUGAAGGAUGACUGCCCUACGGGUUGUAAACUUCUUUUAUAAAGGAAUAAAGUGAGGCACGUGUGCCUUUUUGUAUGUACUUUAUGAAUAAGGAUCGGCUAACUCCGUGCCAGCAGCCGCGGUAAUACGGAGGAUCCGAGCGUUAUCCGGAUUUAUUGGGUUUAAAGGGAGCGUAGAUGGGUUGUUAAGUCAGUUGUGAAAGUUUGCGGCUCAACCGUAAAAGUGCAAUUGAUACUGGCAGCCUUGAGUACAGUUGAGGUGGGCGGAACUCGAGGUGUAGCGGUGAAAUGCGUAGAUAUCACGAAGAACUCCGAUUGCGAAGGCAGCUUACUAAACUGCCACUGACAUUGAUGCUCGAAAGUGUGGGUAUCAAACAGGAUUAGAUACCCGAGUAGUC
rnacentral:rRNA from 1 species